UCCGUAGGCGGAUUGAUAAGUCAGAGGUGAAAUCCCACAGCUCAACUGUGGAACUGCCUUUGAUACUGUUAGUCUUGAGUUAUAUGGAAGUAGAUAGAAUGUGUAGUGUAGCGGUGAAAUGCAUAGAGAUUACACAGAAUACCGAUUGCGAAGGCAGUCUACUACGUAUAUACUGACGCUAAUAGACGAAAGCGUGGGGAGCGAACAGGAUUAGAUACCCUGGUAGUCC
rnacentral:rRNA from 1 species